GUAAAUUGAAACCUACAGAUGUUCAGUGACUUGUCCUCUCACGUCAUCUGACAGUCUUGAGCUAAACAGAGAAAGCAGAAGCCAUGAAGCUGAACUGAGCUCCCGUGCUGUCUGCUUAAGGCAAAUGCACUGGGGGGAAGUGAGGCUUCGCCACAGCCCCCUCGCGUUGCUCUGCGCCCUGCCUCAUAUCUAAGCCGCAGACCUGUAGCUGUCCAGGAAGUUUGGAGGCUGAAACAUCUUCUGCCACCUUCAAAGCUUGCCGUAGAGCCGCAGGUGUGAGAAAGAUGUACUUAGAAGCAGCGGUUUGGACCAAUUGAAAGCAAAAGAGGCUGGACUCCAGACAUGAAAUCAGCAUCAGGAUUUGGCGAAGAGAUGAAAGAGAAGUGAAUUUUGGAUUAAAGAAAUGACAGUCUAUCAGGUUCCUAUUUGGUGGCCACGGAAUUUGGUGUCCUCUGCAGUUAUGCUGUCUCACUGUAUCUCUUGCCAAUACUUUCUUGUGCAGCUUCUGAAAUCAGGUAAGAGAGGGUCCCCCAUAUCUCUCGGCCACCUUUUACUGCUUUCGCCUCACUGGUUUCUCCUAGUCUGGUUUCGGCUUAA
rnacentral:lncRNA from 1 species